UGUCUCUGUCGCGCCCCUCCUUUGCUCCUUCGGUUUCUCCAGCGACUUCGGUCGGAUCAAAUGCAAAGGACAAAGUUCAGAGCAAACCUGGCAAUAUUGUAUUAGAGGGGAAUAAAGAGAGAAUAAAGAAGAUGUUUGAUAAGGUUGAAUUGUCUGCAUCUUCUUAUGACACAGCUUGGGUGGCAAUGAUACCAUCACCUUCUUCUCCAGAAAAUCCUUUGUUCCCUCAAACCCUAAAUUGGUUAUUAGAAAACCAA